rnacentral:lncRNA from 1 species
ACAGUCCCAUGGAAGAACCUAAUUUUACAGAACCAAGCCAGGCCAAAAGCAGUGUUCAACCUGUGGCUAGUCCUACAGGACAGAUUACCAACCAAGGAUCGACUACAUAGCUGGGGAAUGGGAAUUGAUCAGCAAUGCCCCCUAUGCCAAAUCCUAUCUGAAACAAGAGAUCAUCUCUUCAUGGAAUGCCCUGUCACUGUGGAUCUAUGGGGAAAAGUAAUGAAUUGGCUACGGGAAUAAUACAUACCUAGUAGCAGUUGGAACCAGAAAGUGCAAUGGAUGAUUACCAAAACCAAAGGACGAACAUGUUGAGC